UAGGGAAUCUUCGGCAAUGGGGGCAACCCUGACCGAGCAACGCCGCGUGAGUGAAGAAGGUUUUCGGAUCGUAAAGCUCUGUUGUAAGAGAAGAACGUGUGUGAGAGUGGAAAGUUCACACAGUGACGGUAACUUACCAGAAAGGGACGGCUAACUACGUGCCAGCAGCCGCGGUAAUACGUAGGUCCCGAGCGUUGUCCGGAUUUAUUGGGCGUAAAGCGAGCGCAGGCGGUUUAAUAAGUCUGAAGUUAAAGGCAGUGGCUUAACCAUUGUUCGCUUUGGAAACUGUUAAACUUGAGUGCAGAAGGGGAGAGUGGAAUUCCCUGUGUAGCGGUGAAAUGCGUAGAUAUAUGGAGGAACACCGGUGGCGAAAGCGGCUCUCUGGUCUGUAACUGACGCUGAGGCUCGAAAGCGUGGGGAGCAAACAGG
rnacentral:rRNA from 1 species